rnacentral:rRNA from 1 species
GAUGAACGCUGGCGGCGUGCCUAAUACAUGCAAGUCGAGCGAAUGGAUUAAGAGCUUGCUCUUAUGAAGUUAGCGGCGGACGGGUGAGUAACACGUGGGUAACCUGCCCAUAAGACUGGGAUAACUCCGGGAAACCGGGGCUAAUACCGGAUAACAUUUUGAACCGCAUGGUUCGAAAUUGAAAGGCGGCUUCGGCUGUCACUUAUGGAUGGACCCGCGUCGCAUUAGCUAGUUGGUGAGGUAACGGCUCACCAAGGCAACGAUGCGUAGCCGACCUGAGAGGGUGCUCGGCCACACUAGGACUGAGACACGGCCCAGGCUCCUACGGGGGGCAGCAGUAGGGAAUCUUCCGCAAUGGACGAAAGUCUGACGGAGCAACGCCGCGUGAGUGAUGAAGGCUUUCGGGUCGUAAAACUCUGUUGUUAUGGAAGAACAAGUGCUAGUUGAAUAAGCUGGCACCUUGACGGUACCUAACCAGAAAGCCACGGCUAACUACGUGCCAGCCGCCGCGGUAA